GGGUGCAACAGGAGAUUUGCAGCAACAGAUUGACAUGCCAGGAAGGAAAAAGAUACGAAAAAAUUAUGAUAAAAAUUAGAGCUCAAAAUAACUCUAUAGGAUCCGCGAGGCAAUCUUUCCGUCAGAAAGAUCUUCCUCCCAUACUUCCAUUGGCAGAGCCCAGCUUUUCACAUCCUGUAGUCACUAUGGAUGCGUAAAUUACUGCUUUAAUGCAGCAAAUGAAAGUGUU
rnacentral:lncRNA from 1 species